rfam:Schistosoma curassoni strain Dakar, Senegal genome assembly, scaffold: SCTD_scaffold0001935
GCAUUGCUGAGGAGUUCCAUAAUAGAACGAAACAGCCGUCCAUUGC